AGAGUUUGAUCCUGGCUCAGGAUGAACGCUAGCGGUAUGCCUAACACAUGCAAGUCGUACGAAAGUUUUUAACUUAAGUGGCGGACGGGUGAGUAACACGUGAGAAUUUACCUUUAGGAGGGGGAUAACAAUUGGAAACGAUUGCUAAUACCCCAUAUGCUUGAGAGUGAAAUAGAUUUAUCUGCCUAGAGAAAAGCUCGCGGCUGAUUAGCUAGUUGGUAGGGUAAUGGCCUACCAAGGCGACGAUCAGUAUCUGGUUUGAGAGGACGAUCAGACACACUGGAACUGAGACACGGUCCAGACUCCUACGGGAGGCAGCAGUGGGGAAUUUUCCGCAAUGGGCGAAAGCCUGACGGAGCAAUACCGCGUGAGGGAAGACGGCCUAUGGGUUGUAAACCUCUUUUUUCAGGGAGGAAUAAAUGACGUGUACCUGAAGAAUAAGCAUCGGCUAACUCCGUGCCAGCAGCCGCGGUAAGACGGAGGAUGCAAGUGUUAUCCGGAAUCACUGGGCGUAAAGCGUCUGUAGGUGGUUUAGUAAGUCAACUGUUAAAUCUUGAAGCUUAACUUCAAAAUCGCAGUCGAAACUAUUAGACUAGAGUAUAGUAGGGGUAAGGGGAAUUUCCAGUGGAGCGGUGAAAUGCGUAGAUAUUGGAAAGAACACCGAUGGCGAAGGCACUUUACUGGGCUAUUACUGACACUCAGAGACGAAAGCUAGGGUAGCAAAUGGGAUUAGAUACCCCAGUAGUCCUAGCUGUAAACAAUGGAUACUAGAUGUUGAACAGAUCGACCUGUGCAGUAUUAAAGCUAACGCGUUAAGUAUCCCGCCUGGGAAGUAUGCUCGCAAGAGUGAAACUCAAAGGAAUUGACGG
rnacentral:rRNA from 1 species